GAUGAACGCUGGCGGCGUGCCUAAUACAUGCAAGUCGAGCGAAAGGACGAGACGCUUGCUUCUCUGUUGUUAGCGGCGCACAGGUGAGUAACACGUGGAUAACCUACCUCUAAGACUGGGAUAACCUGGGGAAACCGGCGCUAAUACCGGAUAAUAUCUUGAUCCGCAUGGUUCAAAGGAGAAAGACGGUCUUGCUGUCACUUCUAGCUGGAUCCGCCCUGCUUUAGCUAGUUGGUAAGGUAACGGCUUCCCAAGGCAACGAUGCAUAACCGACCUGAGAGGGUGAUCGGCGACACGAGAGCUUAGACAGAGUACAUGGUCCUCCGAGAGGCUACAGUAGCGAACCUUCCGCAAUUGGCGAAAGCCUGACGGAAAAACGCCGAGUAAGCGGAAAAGAUCUUGGGAGCGGAAAACUCGGCUAUGAGGUGUGAACAUAUUUGUAAUUAACUGUGCACAGCGUGACGGUACCGAAUCAGAAAGCCACGGGUAACUACGUG
rnacentral:rRNA from 1 species